AUUGAACGCUGGCGGCAUGCCUAACACAUGCAAGUCGAACGGCAGCACGGGAGCUUGCUCCUGGUGGCGAGUGGCGGACGGGUGAGUAAUGCAUAGGAAUCUGCCCAGUAGCGGGGGUCAACUUGGGGAAACUCAAGCUAAUACCGCAUGCGCCCUACGGGGGAAAGCGGGGGACCUUCGGGCCUCGCACUAUUGGAUGAGCCUAUGUCAGAUUAGCUUGUUGGUGGGGUAACGGCCUACCAAGGCGACGAUCUGUAGCUGGUCUGAGAGGACGAUCAGCCACACUGGGACUGAGACACGGCCCAGACUCCUACGGGAGGCAGCAGUGGGGGAAUAUUGCACAAUGGGCGAAAGCCUGAUGCAGCAAUGCCGCGUGUGUGAAGAAGGCCUGCGGGUUGUAAAGCACUUUCAGUAGGAGGAAACAGUAGCCGGUUAAUAUCCGGUUGCCUUGACGUUACCUACAGAAGAAGCACCGGC
rnacentral:rRNA from 1 species